AUCAAGUAAGUGUCACAGUGGGAGAAUCAAUAGCAUCGUUAGUAAAACACAUACACAAAAUAGAAAAUGUAAAAGGAUGAGAAAAAAACAAUUAUGAAAGUAAAUUCUGUCACUUUUAUCCCAAAGAAUUGGCACGUGCCCUGGGCUCCCUUCAGCUGCCUGGGCCCUACCCUGGAGACUGACUCAGUGAAUUGAGCCGCAGUCUUGGUAUGAUGGUCCAGGUUCAUCUCUCUGAAUUUUACCUGUUUAGUGAGGGCCAUCCCUGAAGCCCUGAGGCAGUACUGUCCAGGUGUGCUGCUGGGUAAUAUUAGUUCCAGGAUUAGUCCUCUCAAGAGCAAACAAAUACUGAGAGUCAGAAUGCAAAGGGAUACAAAAGAAAGCAUCCUUAAGAUCUAAUACUGUGAACCAGUUGGUCUCCCGGUAUUCGGGUAAGUAUGGCAUAAGGAUUUUGCACUGUCGGACGUAAGGGAAUUACAGCCUCAUUAAUGGCUCUCAAGUCUUGAACUAGACGGUACUCUGUUUGGUUUUUGGUUAGGAAGGACCAGGAGUAUUACAAGGAGACUGACAUGGAAUCAGGAAGCCAUGUUUUAAAAACUUGUCAAUUAGAGGUUGGAGUCCUUGCUUGGCUUUUGGUUUGAGAGGAUACUGACGCUUGUGUGGGAAAUUAUUUUUGUCUUUUAAAGAGGUGAUCACUGGCUGAGCAUAAAUUGCUUUGCCAGGGCUUUCUUGGUCCCAUAUUUGUGGGUCUGAGACCUUAUUUUGGGAUGGAUCUCCUGUCAUUCCGAGGCUGGCUUAGGAAACAACACUGCCAAAAAGGAGGGCCCCCCACCCAGGGCCUGAUAAAUGUAAAGUGGCCUCAGGGGUGGCUAGGAAGUCCCAUCCCAAUGAAAGAGUAGAAUACUGUGGCAUAACUAGAGAUUCAUGAGUUACCAUAUAGUUUCCUAGCCUGCAGUUCAGAGGCACUGUAAAGUGUUUUGAUUUUGGGGUGCCACUGACACCCAUGACAGUGCAGCUUUUGGAAGAUAAGGGCCCAGAGUGGCCAUUUAGGACAGAGUAACUUGCCCCUGUGUCAAUUAAGACAUUGAUAUUCUUAGUUGCCAUGUCAAGAGUCACCUGAGGCUCCUCAGUUAUGAUGACCAGGCCUUUUAUGGGAGCCGCCGAGAACCUCGGGCCCCUUCAGGCCUCAGUUAUGGCCAUUAUGGACUGGGUAUCCUCCUAUUCCUUUGGAGCUGAAGGCAAUCCCUUUUCCAAUGGCUCCCCUGCUUGCAGUGAGGACAGCAUCUGGGUGGGCUCCCCUGGCUGCGACAGAUCUUAUCCCAAUGUCCUGGCUUCCCACACUUGAAGCAGCAACCAUUGCCUGCACGGUUGCUGUUAGGCCUUUUUGGUCCAUGGGUGAAGCAUCUCUCUGGAUGACCCUGAGGUUGCAGGGUGCUGCUCAUAGUAACUGCUAUCAUUUGGGCCUGCCAUCUAUCCCAUUGUUUGCCACACUGGGUCCUUUCAGCCUUUUCAGCCCUGUCCCUAUUACUGAAUACCUGGAAAGCCUCAUCAAGCUUUGGUUUAAUAGGUAUUUGGGGUCUCAAAGACAAUUUCUGUAAUUUUCUCCUGAUGUUGGGUGCUGACUGGCUUAUAAAGUGUGUCCCUAGUUAAAUUUGGCCAGCAUCAGUACUGAGGUGAGUGUUAAUAUAUUUUCUUAGGGCCUUCACAAGGUGACCCUGGAACAAAGCUUGGUUUUCAUCCUUUCCUUAUUUCCCUUAUUUUAUCAUAGUUCACAGCCUUAGUGUACAUUUUUUAUUCUCUCCACUAACCAAAUUGCCAUACAAUUUCUUUUUCUUGGAUUAGCCUGGCCUUGUAGAUAGUUCCAGUUGGGGUCAUUGUUAGGCACAGGCAUGGCCCCCACAGUGUAUAGUUCAGGGUCCCCAGCUAAUAAGUUGUCAGCA
rnacentral:lncRNA from 1 species